rnacentral:rRNA from 1 species
GACGAACGCUGGCGGCGUGCUUAACACAUGCAAGUCGAACGGUAAGGCCCUUCGGGGUACACGAGUGGCGAACGGGUGAGUAACACGUGGGUGAUCUGCCCUGCACUUCGGGAUAAGCCUGGGAAACUGGGUCUAAUACCGGAUAGGACUCCUGGCUUCAUGGUUGGGGGUGGAAAGCUUUUGCGGUGUGGGAUGGGCCCGCGGCCUAUCAGCUUGUUGGUGGGGUAAUGGCCUACCAAGGCGACGACGGGUAGCCGGCCUGAGAGGGUGACCGGUCACACUGGGACUGAGAUACGGCCCAGACUCCUGCGGGAGGCAGCAGUGGGGAAUAUUGCACAAUGGGCGCAAGCCUGAUUCAGCGACGCCGCGUGAGGGAUGACGGCCUUCGGGUUGUAAACCUCUUUCAGCUAUGACGAAGCGCAAGUGACGGUAGUAGCAGAAGAAGGACCGGCCAACUACGUGCCAGCCGCCGCGGUAA